UAAGAUAACAAAAUAGUUCCUUGUAUAAGUUUAGGGAUAUGGCCUAAACGUUUCUACCAAGCUACCUUAAAUAGCAUGACUACAAGGAUUACAUAUGUUUUU
rnacentral:ncRNA from 1 species